UGGAUUAGGCAUGCAAGUCAAGGGGGCCGCAAGGCAACCGGCAGACGAGGUAGUAACACGUAGGAACGCACUUUUUAGUCGGGCAUAGCUCGUCGAAAGACGGGGUAAUUCCUGAUAGUCCCGCAAGGGUAAAGAUUUAUCGCUAAAAAAGCGGCCUGCGCAGUAUCAGCUAGUUGGUAGGGUAAUGGCCUACCAAGGCUAUGACGCUUAGGAGAGCUGAGAGGCUGACCUCCACCGAUGGAACUGAGACACGGUCCAUACACCUACGGGUGGCUGCAGUCGAGAAUAUUUCGCAAUGGGGGAAACCCUGACGGAGCGACACCGCGUGAUUGAUGAAGUCCUUCGGGACGUAAAGAUC
rnacentral:rRNA from 1 species